rnacentral:tRNA from 1 species
ACCCUGAUAGCUUAAUUUUUAGAGCAUAGCACUGAAGAUGCUAAGGUAGCAAAUACGCUUUAGGGUA